AAGCCAGCAAAUAAAUCUGCUUACUUGAAUGUGUUGGCAGAAAUUUAGAAAUAGCUGGCAAGAGUAAAAAAAAAUGCCAUGUUAUGAGCCUUAAUGGCAUUGAUGUUGCUAAGAUCCCCGAAAGUAGCUAUAGGA